UACUUUUAACAAAAUUAUGACUAAAAAUAUUAUGAACGUCGAGUCUCUAGAUUCAUCAUCUUUGUGUGUCUGAUAAACCCAGAGAAUGAAGAUAUAGAAUCUAUAUAGGCCCCCUAUUAUAUAGAAUCUAGCUUUAGUUGACUCUAGACUAGAUCUAGGAUAAUUUCAAGUCUAGAUGUUCAGCUUCAUCUUACCUUGAUCAUGAUGAUUAAUUUUAAUCUGACUUCCUGACUUGUUAACUUAAACUUCGUCUUACUUAGCCCUUAGGCGCUUCAUAUGUGAAUCAUGAAUGGAAGUGCUUGGCUCACAGUGUCACAGAUCGUUCUUUAAACUAUUUGAAGAUCUACUUUAUCUUUACUAACGACUCUAAUCUAUAUCUAGUUUAUGUCUAUAUUUUAUAUGAUAAUAAUAGACAUAGACUCUUAUACUUAUAAUAAAGACAAAGUUAUAAGAUCUAGAUCUAGAAUCUGUAUCUAGAUCUAUUCCCAUUUGUGAUUUAUACACUACAGAUUUAAUGUUUCUGAUGAGCAAUACUACUAUCUACAGCCAUGCCCAUUAACAUAGGCCCUACUCAUGUACUAGAUCUAGCUCUUUUGAUCACAACUCAUAUCUUGCCUAGAUAUAAACAACUGUACUAGAUUGGACUAGACAUUCUAAUCGGUUCUAUUUUCGUUUUUCAUUAUUCUCACAUAUUCUAGUAGGCAAUAGGUACCAAAUUGUGCUAUUUAUUCACUGUAGAUCUAGAUCUUAACUUUUCUCUUAACUACCAAAGAAGUACACAAAGGAUGUUGAAAGGUACCCAAAGGGCUCUUAUUGCUACCAUUCAAUGUGUGGAAUCAAGUAUUUACCCAGAUACUGCCACAAUAUGCUCUUAUUGUUUUCAAAGGAGUUUUCACACAGUGCCAGAAGCUGUAUAAAUACAUUUAACAAUGUAUAUUUCAAGAAGAAAUGAUGCUUUCUUAUUUCUAAGAGUUUAUCAAUAGGAUGAAUGCCACAAAACUCACUUGUUAUGCCAGAAACUCUUCCUACGAAACUUCCAUACUAGAAUUUGUCCAGUGCCUGUGAUCCUCUGAGUUGAAGGAGAAUGUGCUCCAUAAUACCUACUAGGAGCUUGCUGAUAGCUGGAAGUUCAUGAAUACUAUGUUGUCCUUGAUUUGAUGAUUCUGAAAACUACCAUUUCUGAAGACUUGAGCAUUAUUUCUAUAAUUUAAAAAAAUCUUUUCAGGAAAUAUUGUGUUUAUAAUAUUAAGAAAGGGAAGAUAAUAUUGUUCUUACUAAUAUUAUUGACUUAUUAAAAUAGAAAGCACAUCAUUACCAAUAUUCACUUGUCAAUAAAUGUUAGCAUUAUUCAAUUUUUAGUUACAUGUUCAAACUAUUAAAUUUUAUUAUUUAAAUUAUAGCAACUUUCUCUUUCAGUCCAGCUUAAGAUACAUUCCUGUAAAAAGUCUAUAAUAAUAAGUUAAUGUCGAUGUAGUAUUGUUCAAACACUUACAAGUUUAAUCAUCUAUACUUCACAAAAAAAAAGUGUUUGAAUGGUUUUCAUUUGUUUGUACAUCAAAUAUGUAUUAAUAUAAUUAUCAUUUUUAGAUGAAACAUUAAAUACUGAAGAUGACCAUCUCAAUUUCUGAUGUAGGCCUAUUCUCAUUUCAUGAAAUAAACAAAAUAUUAUCUGAAAUUUCAUCCCUUCAUGGUAACUGUAACUGGCUUCAUAAAAUCUCGAAAUUCAUGAGCAGCUGAGAAAAAAAGAAAAGAAAUUCAAACUAGUUAAAAAAUGUAAGACUACUUUAUGUUACAACAAUGGACAGCAUCUUUAAAGUUGAUUUCAAUGCAAUCACAAGAAAUAAUUUUUUCUCUACAAUUAGGCCUGCUUUAAUGAUUUUUUUUUAUGUAAAUAAAUUUUAUGCAUAGGAUUAAAUAUAACAUGUACUUAAGGAGAUUUUUUACCUAUUAUUUCACAAUUACAAGUAAUUUAAAGUGAUACAUGUAUUGAUAACAGAAUGUUAUUGGAGAAAGUAAAAAAAAAAUCUCACUUGUAGUAUAUCCCUUUCAAUUUGAAAGUUAGUGACAAUCAAAUCAGGUUUGUGGAAGUAGUAUGCUCCUUUAAUAAAAAAAACAAACAAACAAAAAAUGCAUUAUAAAAAGUUUUCGCUUUAAAUAAAAGUUCUCUUGGGUGACUUGAGUAGAAAGUAAUAGAAAUAUGAACUUCAUUUAGCAAUAUGCUCACACUAAGCAGAAGUGGUUUUUACUAGUGAAAAUUGUCUGUCCAAAUAAGCUAUUGAAACUACUGUUAGCUUCACAUGAUAUGAACUGUAAAGUUUGACAGUUCUUCAUCUAAGACUUUUAGGUACCGGUAUUAUCUAUCAAGAGCAGGGUAAAACAAGGAUGGGUUUUGGCCAUCAACACUAUUCGGAAUUGUUUCGUCUGUACUCUCAUAGCGCCUUGGAAGAUGGAGUAGGCCCUAUAUAUCCACAGUAGAUCGGAUGGAAGGCUUCUUAAACUGGCUUGGCCAAAACGAGGAAACUACAUAACCUGAUUAGGGAACUGAUGUUUGACGACGAUGCUGCUCUCACUACCUUUCGCAGUAAUUAUUACAAAGGCUAGUCAAUACUUCGACAGCUGCAGAUCAAUAGUUCAGUCUUACAAUAACUCUCACCAAGACAGAAAAAGGGCAUAAAAAGUCAACAUCAUCAAACUCCAUUUGAGUGAGGGCUUGAGAGGCUCAAAUCUUCUCUUGCAAAAGCCCUGGACAGAAACCCUGCUGUAUUGCGUAGUGCAUACAUGUCACCAUACAGAUUGAGAAUUUUUUGUUCUGACCUGUUGAGAUGGAGAUCAGCAAGUCUGGGGCAGUCAAACAGAAAAUGAGGCACGGGGGCACCAGGAUUCGAAAUUUGGCCAUAGCCGUGAGAAACAUGAGGCAACAGGACAG